AGUGUCUCCAAUCUGACGACCACUUGUUCCGGGAUAGGCGUUCCACUUUCCGGAAGACCGCCGAUGUACAUCAUAGACGCGAGACCGAUCCUCUUCGGUACUUUGAGGAUGCGAGGUGCCUGAGUAUCUACUAAUAGAAAGAAGCUGUCCGUCCCGGAUGAGCACCAUCAGAUAGUGCUUUAAACGAAUACCCUGUAAAUACUUUUAAUAAGCAACUGUAAUAUUAAUUAACUAAAAAUUGGAAGCGAUAAAUAAAGAAUAAAGAAUUAUAAUUAUAUUUAAAUCGAAGAUUGGUAUUGUAAAAAUCCGAACAUUCUUACAAAAUGUAUAUCUUGUUAAAUUAAUAAGUUCAAACCAAUUACAAAUAAAAUUAUAAAAGA